rnacentral:rRNA from 1 species
CCGCGUAGGAGGAUGAAGCCCCUUGGGGCGUAAACUCCUUUCGACCAAGACGAUGAUGACGGUACUGGUGGAAGAACGCACCGGCUAAACUCUGUGC